rnacentral:lncRNA from 1 species
CUCAAAUUGCAUACUAAUUCUUUUGCUCUUUCAUAAUUAAUUCUCUCCCAUUUCCCACAGAGACUGUUUUAUACCUUCUUUUCUCUUCUUAGGCCUCAUAUAUACAACCAUCUCCCUCCUCCCUUUCAACCCAAGACCUGGCCUCAUACUUCACUGAAAAAAAAUGGGAUGCAUCUUCCUCUUCAGUCUCACAAUUCAGAUCACCUUAGUAUCAUCCCCCAAAUAUCUGCUUGUCCCCAUUAUGAAGAAAUUAAGUUGAUUUAUAUUCAGAACUUGGAGCUUGGACCUGCCAUGCAUCCUGGACAAGAUCUGCAUCAGUGGAAAGAGGUCCUCCCAUGGAAUGACAUUGAAGAUUUGGAUUAAACAAGAAUUGGAUUAUGCUUUAAACCAUCUACUUUCUCCUCACGUAGCACUUUUAACUUUUUGGAACCACUUUUCUGUCCAUAAUCUCAUUUUUUCCCUCAGUAAGGAUCCCGAGAUAAUCUAGAGCAAUUAUUAUAAUCCUCAUUUUGACAUGAUGAGAGAACUGAGGAACAAAGUGAUUGAGUCUUCCCCGAGGUGAUGAAGCUAGCCAAAUAAUAAUAAAGGCCAGAAAUAAAGCCA